rnacentral:rRNA from 1 species
UACGGAGGGAUCUAGCGUUGUUCGGAAUUACUGGGCGUAAAGAGCACGUAGGUGGCUCGACGCGUUAGAGGUGAAAUCCCCAGGCUCAACCUGGGAACUGCCUUUAAUACGGUCGAGCUAGAAUAUAAGAGGGGUUAAUGGAAUUCCAAGUGUAGAAGUAAAAUUCGUAGAUAUUUGGAGGAACACCAGAGGCGAAGGCGAUUAACUGGCUAUAUAUUGACGCUGAGGUGCGAAAGUGUGGGUAGCGAACGGG